UACGGGGGGGCAAGCGUUGUUCGGAAUUACUGGGCGUAAAGGGCUCGUAGGCGGCCAACUAAGUCAGACGUGAAAUCCCCAGCUUAACCUGGGAACUGCGUCUGAUACUGGAUGGCUUGAAUUCGGGAGAGGGAUGCGAAUUCCAGGUGUAGCGGUGAAAUGCGUAGAUAUCUGGAGGAAUACCGGUGGCGAAGGCGGCAUCCUGGACCGACAUUGACGCUGAGGAGCGAAAGCUAGGGGAGCAACGGGGAU
rnacentral:rRNA from 1 species